UAGUCCACGCCGUAAACGAUGUCAACUAGCCGUUGGGUCCAUCUAGGGCUUAGUGGCGCAGCUAACGCGAUAAGUUGACCGCCUGGGGAGUACGCCGGCAACGGUAAAACUCAAAGGAAUUGACGGGGCCCGCACAAGCGGUGGAGCAUGUGGUUUAAUUCGAUGCAACGCGAAAAACCUUACCUACCCUUGACAUCCUGUGACAACUCGAGAGAUCGAGCGUUCCUUAGGGACACAGUGACAGGUGCUGCAUGGCUGUCGUCAGCUCGUGUCGUGAGAUGUUCGGUUAAGUCCGGCAACGAGCGCAACCCACAUCUUUAGUUGCCAGCAGUUCGGCUGGGCACUCUAAAGAAACUGCCCGUGAUAAGCGGGAGGAAGGUGUGGAUGACGUCAAGUCCUCAUGGGCCCUUACGGGGUUGGGGCUACACACGUGCUACAAUGGCAAGUACAGUGAGUUAAUCU
rnacentral:rRNA from 1 species